UGAGCCACCGCGCCCGGCGCAGGGCGUGCCCAGGGCUUCUGAUGCCAGAGCCCAGGAAUGAGCUUUUGCCUUUUGGAUUCAGGGCUUCCCUGUACUCUCACAGAGUCAGAAUGGCCGUAUGUUUACAUGUGAAGCCCUGGGGCUCCCUGGCCCCUUCCUGGGCCGUUCUCCACCUUUUCUCUUCUCACCCUUUGCUGUUCCCUGAGUCAUGCAAUCCAUAGUGAAGAGGCCAGAGGCCCGGAUGGGGAAGUGCCGGGGGCAGCCGUGGCAGCUUCAUCACAGAGUUUGGCUUUGAAUGCAGCUGCUUAAUCUACUGACUAUCUGCCGACUUGAACACAGUUGCCGUUCUCCCCUGAAGUGACAGAUUAAGUUUGUGGAGCAGGUUGAAUGUGUCACACAAACUUUGAAUGUUUGAGACUACCUUGGCCACCAGAUUGUGUUACCUGGAAGUUUGGUCCCAAGCAAGAAGCCACAGGGAGAGACAGCGAGGCAACUCUAUGCACAUGCAAUGAACACUGAGACUGAUAUCACUGAGACUUUCAGAGGACAAUGGACUCAUUAUGGAUCUCACAUCUUUCCUAGACUCUGUUCUUUGCUCUUGGGUCUUCUCUACUCAGACUACCUGCCCCCAAAUGCUCCAUCCUCACCAAAAUAUAAAGAUUGAGAAGAAAGUGGGACAAAGGGUGUGGAAUAAAAAAUGUAAGAUUGGCUAUCACCCCAAGGUGAUCAAAUCUAAUGUUGGCUUUGCUCCAGCGGAUCUGUGACCAAUUUUGUAUCAGUCCCAGAGCACAGCGAGCCUGUUCAGGCUCUUGUAAGUGAGGACCUGUGGUUGAAGAGUAAAAUUUUUGUGACUUUAAUCCUUCUUUUCUCCAGACUGGAGGGUCAUGAUGGUACAGUGGGAAUACCUUGGGCCUGGCUGCCAGGCCGACCUGCACAAAGAUGGUUGUCCCUGUGGGAGGGGCACAGACAUUGUGCAGGUUGCACACAAAAACAGAACUAGGGUCUCUGGCAGCGGAAAUGAGUCAUACAGAGAGCCGUUUAGAGGUUUCUCAAUACAGUUCUUGGGCUUAUUAAGGUUGAGUAAUGGCAAUUAGUGUGGAGGCAAAUUGGAACAACAGUGACAGUGUUGAUUAUGAAGCAAAUGAAGAAGCUCAAAAGGAAGGCAUUUUCUUGGAGUGCCUCAAAGAAUUCUGCCCUUUAAUUAUCUGCCCUCUCAGUGUAGAGAGAGUGAGAUAUCACUGGAAAACACUGGAGGGCCAUUUGUGGUGACACAGAAGCCUCUCAUACAGACAGGAAGCAAAUGAAUGGCAGGGGAUGUGAGUUUGGAUGGAAGGGCUGUCAUGGGGAUUCAGAUUGGAUUCUAGAGUCAGGUGCAUUGUGGUCCUUGCCUGAUGCAGGAGGUUUGGACUCAGAUUUUUCUGAAGACAACAUAAGCAGAGAAACAAGGUGUGAAGACAAGCUUGUUUGAGGAUGUUGGCACCAUGACAAAGUUAUUUACUGUACCCCAUCCCAGUGCCCAGAUGAACAAUAUGAACAUGAUAGGGAUGCAGUUCACAUGUGUUCCAUUUUAGAGUUUGCUUUAAAAAUUUAUAUCCAUGUCAUAACCUUCUGAUUAGGAUUUGAGAGAACUGAUUGUCAAAGUGAACUAUAUUUUUAGGAAAGUGUUAUUUUAUAUUAUUCUGAUGCUAUAAAAGCCAAGAUUGCUAAACUGAAGGACUCUGUAACGUGAGAAGCAUAUCAUAUUCUAAGUAUCCCUAAGGUGUCUCUCUUGACCUCAGCACUAACAGCUGGUAAUGGCAGGGAUUGCUGUUAUUUCACAUGUGACCCACGAUGGUGAGACAUACUCACCCACCCAGGGCGAGGGGGAAGAGGGGAGAUUGCCACAUAUUUCCAGCUGGCAUAGCAAUUGUAGUAUUAAGAAGGUGAAAGAUUCAUAUCUAAUCAAAUAACCUCAGAUAAGUGUGUCCUGGGCUGUUGUCCCUGUGGCUUUAACAAGUCACUUGGUGAUGCACAAACUGAAUGCAGCUGAACUCUGCCCAGGGCUGUGAUGACUGCUUUUCAUAGCUUUGAAUUCUAUUAAAAACCAGAAUGAAAA
rnacentral:lncRNA from 1 species